GACCCCCCAUCGAAUUCAGGAAAGAUAGAACGAAUGAUUUUCGCAGCGUUAUGCUUGGAAGCGCUCUCGUUUGUUAGCAAGAAUACGCUGCACGAAUCUGCUGUUACUGUUAGAGAAUCUGCUUCUCGAGUGAAGUAGGAGCGUAGCUUUGAAGACAGAAGCAAUAGCCUGAUUAGUCACUUCUCAUGGAUCAGGUUUGGGUAUAAGACAUGUUGGAUCCACAAAGGUAGUGAAGUUACUUCCGGGGGAAGGCAGGCAGGAGAAAAUCCCACCUUGCUUUUUUCCUAGAAAAUGGAUCUCUCUUUUGUCGAUCCCAUUUCCUUUCCAUCAUUCCAGUGAGUAAGUUAAUCGUUGGUAUGCCAUAUUCUUAAUAGCAAGCACAGAAGCAGGAAAGCUAGCCCCUCAUAAAGUCGUGUUAAAAAUUUAUAUAGGAGAGGUCGUAGAAGACCAAAGGUCUACAGAGUCGGGUUCAAUGCCCAUCAGCCUACCAGAGGCUGAGGAUGAGCAUGAACAGAAGCCCGAAGCCAAAGGAGACCAAAGCCCAAGGAAGAGAAAGGGGGUAGGGCCAUUACCGAGAUAGGCUAAGAAGCGGUAGAUCGCGAGAGGCUUUUAGGCGCCUUUUCUUUCAGUAUUCUUUACGUCUAAGACUCUCUUUCACUCGUUUUAAAAAAUAAAGAUUUUUUGGCGAGCAAUGCUUUUGGAUUUAUUGAUCUGCUUUCGGGUAGACUAGUCAAAGUCGCAGAGAAACUCAUACCUUGCCUUAAGCCUAUAGUAUAAAAGGAAGGCCUAGCGUUUAAGGCAAAUAAGUCUUUAUGUGCUCUUACGGUAGCCAGUAAAGCGUGACGUAAGGAGCGAGGGCAGGUUUAAUAGCAUUACAGCUAGUAGAGCAGACAGGUUUGAGAAAGGUCAUUGAAAGUCCCAUUUUCCCAUUCUAUUCGAUAGACACAAUCUCUAAGACUAUUAGUUAUACCUAACAGGUCUUUCCCUUAAGCCUUAUCUGUACCGGAAAACGAGCCUCUCAACAAAUAAAAGAAAACAAGGGAAGAGAAGAACGGUUUGGGUAGUGCAGUAAGUCAACGGUGAAACUUGAGUCAAAGCCAGUCGGGCAUCUGGUCCAGGGACAGGAGAAGGGCAGCACUAGUAGUUUGUGUCUUGGUGUCGUAAAGUCCUAUUUGUUUGUUACAGGGGGAUCCAACUCAAGACAGGGAAGUGACUUACCGGAUUCUGGACUCCCUACUCUGUCUGGUUUUGGGGGUCGUCAAUAGCUAAGCAUUGUGGCCAUCACAGUUCAAGCUACGUAUGGCUGGCGUACAACCUACGGGCUUCUUAGCCAAAAGAAAAAAACACGACCACAUAUAUACGACAAUUCCCCAUAUCUAUCUCUAAGUAUCUCUUAGAAUUUUAGCUGAGUCUUUGAUAUGAAUCUGAUUCCCUAAAUGAAAUAAGGAAUAUAGGUAGGCCUUGGUUGGAAGAAAUGAUUGCAUACUUCUUUAUUUGAUUGGGAAGGGCUAUGAUGUCAAUAGAUAUUUAUGAAUAAAGAUCCUCCUGGCAGUACGACGGACCUUAGAGAUCGCAAAGUUGAAGCAAGCCCAGUGUAAAACCUUACUAGUAAAAGUUCCCUAAAUAAGGUGGGAUCAAAAUACGUUUUUUGAAGCCGACUGGUAGCAUGUAGUCGUAGGCGGAGAUAAACAAGUGAUAAACAUUUAGUCCUCACUUCACACUUUCUAGAUAUCUUUCUCUAUUAUCGGCUGCAUGCUAUCGGAGAGAAAACAAUGGGAAGUUCAGUCAAACGCAUUUACCGCGCCAAUGAUCAAGCAAAUAAGAAUCUCUGUCUUAUUUUUCUUACGCAAUUUCGGAAGAUUCCCCAUCUGAGAGAUGUUGUUCUAUGGAAGGUCCCUUUUUAAAAUAAGGAGUUUGCCUAGGAACUCCACCUUAGAAACUUUCCUGCCUCCGCUCAAAAUCCACCUAUACUAAUCGGAUUUUUUCCUAUUCUUAGACGACUUUUCUAUUGCCUUCCGUGCAAAAACUCUUUUGAAUCCGUAGGGGAAUGCGGAUAUAAAGAGAAAUGAAGCAGCUGGGCCUGAUAUAGAGACUGCCCAUAAGAUAAGGCUGAGCUUAAACCUUAUGUGUCGUCUAACUGAGCAGCAACACAAUAUCGGAAGAUUUGAAGCUGUAACAAGAGUUUAUGAACCUUCCGGAGCUCUCGAUCCGAUCGACACUAAGGUUCCCUGAUGAGGGCUAGCACAACGAAAGACAAGCAUGAGGCUCUGGUGGAUAACUAUUCAUUUCUCUUCAUUUAGUUUUCCCUUCUCAUAGUCAUUCUAUCGGGAAGAAGGCCUUUCUUAAAAGAGAAUCGAAUCGUCAAGACCCGCUUUCAUACUAGGGCCUUUGAUUUUGACUGCGCUCGUCUCGCCCUAAUCUCGCUAAGUCCGCUGCUUCACCUCUUGGGACAGCUGCUGAACCCCGUACGUACGUACCUGUCAACUAAGCUCCUCUCCUUAUGGACUCUUCGCUCUAUCUGUCGAUGUUCUAGCUGUCCGAAAGCCGGGAGCAGCAUCUUAAAAGAGAAGGGAAAGCUCCCAACCCAAGUGCAAGUGCCAUCCUAAAAGAUAGCUGUUGGAGGGAUAUCCUCUGCUAUUGACGAAGCUGUUAUUGGACUCGCUCGGCUCGGCUGGUCUCACUGGAACUCAGGGUUGGAGGAAGAAGGGCUACUAUAGACUAGAAGGGAGGCGUUAUCAUACCCAGUUUUUUAAUUUAGGGGUCUUCCCAGAGCAAAGGCACCGAUCUUACUUAUCUUAGGAAGAAAGAUAGAACUAUGAGUGAAGAAAGAAGGGAAGAGAAUUGCUCUCUUGUCGCUGCUAGUCUCUUGUUAGUAGUAAUAGCGGUAGGUGGGAACUCUUUUGAAAGAAGAGACGAUUUAGUCUCAAUCAAAGAGAAAAGAGAAUACAAAUAAGCGAAAGAGCAUGCAGUCUAUUGAUCAAAAGGGGCCAUCGGCCAUACAUGCAGGGCCGGUACAUGGCCAAUCAAAACAAAACUCAAAGUGAAAGGAAAGGGGCUUCUUGGCGCGCAGGCCUCCCUUCACAAACUAUGGGGAGGAGAAAUGCCCCACUACUCGAGUUGGAAUUCGAAUAACCCCAAUGAUAGUCCGAGCCUCCCUCCUCUCCUCUUGGCCAGCGCUGGUGGACUCUUUAGAGAUGAGCCAGGUAUGUGGCUGGGAGGAUACUCAUAUAUGGUCGGAAUUUUUUCAUCCUUGAGGGCUGAAUUAUGGGCGGUUAAGGUGGGUUUAGAGUUGGCAUGGGAGAAAGGCUUCCGGCGUGUGCUCUUGGAGGUAGAUUCUCAAGUUGUUGUUUACCUGCUGAACAAUGGUGGAUGCAAAAUGGAUUCGAAUGUACCUUAGUGAAGGAAACAGCUGCUGGCUAGAGAUUAGGUUGUUAUGUGGCAACAUGUUUAUCGUGAAGGCAAUAUGUGAGCGAACUGGAUGGCAAACAUCGCUCUCAACCAUAUUGUAGGACUCUCUUAUUUUCCUGAGCCACCGAAAGGCAUUUUCUCUCUUCUCUUGAAUGACCCGGUAGGGGUAUCUUUACCCAGGAUGUGUAUUAGUUAGUUUUGUUUUGGGCCUUAAGCCCCACAUAGUAAAAAAAAAGUAAGGAAGCAAUGCGUAUUUAUUUCCUAGUCUAUAGUGGAUCUGCGUAGCAGAGCCCAAUCUUCUACCCACAAGCUCUGGCCUUACUUGUUGUACUUGAUUCACCUACGUAAAUAGACCACUUUUGUAAGGGCUUUCUUUUCUAUUCGGGAAUAGUGAGAUCGAAGAGAAAAACUAUGCUGCUUGUUUAGUAACGAAUCUGUUUCUUUAUACAAAUGCGUAAAAGAUGUUAGCCGCACUUAAAAGCCGAGUACUCUACCGUUGAAGAGUAAGGCAAGGCGGCUAUAGGGUUGGAUGACUUGGAUGAAGGGGACUCCGCCCGCCACCUCAUGUUCCAAAGUGAAACGGUUGUUCUUCGAUCGAAGCUCCCUCUUCUGACGAUGGUUGGAGUUGACGUCAGUCAAAGUUACUUUUGAAGGCUCAAUAAUCAAUUGGAAGACCUUCGCUCGAUAAAGCCUUUCGAAAAAGACGAAAAAGGAGGAGGAUCGUCUGAUUGUACCUGAUCCUUUCUUAUCUGCCUAUUUGAAAUCAAUUUUAUUGAAAGGGACCGGCUAACCACUCGCUCUCCCAGUCGAGCAAACCUUUCACUUUCCUUUUACUUGCAGAUACUUCCUUGCGAAUAAGGAUUGGAUUUUAGAAAAAGAAAAAGAAAUUCAUAACUUCGAUCGGGAAAGAUCUUUCUACUUUCGGGCUGCCUUCUCAGAGGAGAACAAGCUAGAACUUAAUAAAUAUGGGCUCUCUCCUUCUAUAGAUUCUAAUCAGUAGAUCAGUUAAAGGUAGGCGAAAAGUCUGAAACUGAACUUCCCUUGCCUAGCAAUUCAAUAAGGGAAGGCAGGACUGCUAACUGCCUAACUAAGGGCUCUCUGGUAUCCAUAAUCCCGAAAGCCAAGAUGCUAAGCAAAAGCAUACCCUAAAACAAAUCAGGUCCACUUCCACCCGGCGGAGAAAGGAAAGACAGCAGUUGGAUGCUUGCCCUUUUUCAUGUAAAGGUUCUGAAACAAUGAAGCGCUCUCUUCCUUAAACACCGUACUGCAACAAUAAAGGGAAAGCUAUUCAAGGAAAUAGAGGCUCAAACUCCAUCACCAGUAGAGUGGAAAAAGCGUUGUCCAUUUGAGUAGAAAGACCAGCUUAGAUCGAAGUGGGCUAAGAGAAGGGGACUCCUCUUGAUAGAGGAAAUGAAAACUGGCUCGACCGUCUACAAUAUGAGGGAUUAGCCCUUGCCUCAGACAGAAGAACAGCGGAUUGAACAGGACAACCGGGAAGGGAAGCCUGACAUAGAUAUUGAUUUGAACAAAGGAACUUAAACCGGUACCAGAAACCAAACAAGAGAUGAAAUUCCAGAUUGAACAGAUGACCGACCUGCAAUAAGACAAAAAUCUAAUUCCUAAUUCCAUUCUCUAAGGCGAACUAAAGGGAUGUCUCUAAGCAGCCAAGGCCAAGAGCAAGCAGGAGGAGUAGUCCUAUCUGCCUAGAAGGAUUCGAUAAAGAGAAUGUGAGUGGGCAGGAGAUUCAUAGACACAGAAAGAGAAGACCAAAAGGAGCAGAAGGCACUCAGUUGUUUAUGUGAAAUCAAGAAGCAACAGGUUCCACUUUUACACUUUCCCGAAGAGAGCUCGAAGCAAUAAGAUGAAAGAUGGGAUGAGAUGCUAGCCUUAGCACAGAAGAUCAAUGAAAAAAGACUAGCUAGCGUGAGCGGGAGGAGUAUACGACAACCAAGACUUAUCCAAUUUAAUUGCCAAUUGCAGUAGACUUGGACUGAGCAAUUGAAGUGAAGACCUCAGGUCUAAGGGGCCCAAUCAUUGCAUUUGAAAGCAGCGCUAGAAAGCUUAUAAGAGCUGUAAACUUGUGAUAUAGGCACAUAAACGUAAAGAAGGGCUGAACCCCUUACUCAUGGAACUGCUAGCAGCUGGAGGGGCCGGAUAGGCUAAGAAGCCAGGCAAGGCGGGAAGAGGAAGCGAGAAAGAAGAUGAAUUGGUAGCGAGUUCUAUCACUCGUAUGAGGAAGGUCCCUGCACCCAAAAGAGAAACUGCACCUGAAGGAAGGGGUACAAGACAAGGAAUAGAGAGAGAGCCCAUUCGACAAUGCACAUUGUUUCGGCCCUGCGUAUGAAUACACGGAUUUUUCCAAUUCCUAUUAGUCCGCAUCUUAGAUUGAUAUAGCUAGAUACUCACAGCCCUUCCGGUGGACCAAGGAGUACCCACAGCUGUCACGCUUCUCUGCUUGGCCUAUGUUGAAUAGGACUAGCAGAAAUGGAAGUCCGACCAAUCCAUAUAAUGAAUACGAGAUGGGGAGUUUUCGAAGAUAGGGAAGUGCCCGCUUCCCGCUAGAAAGAAAGCCUGGGAAACUAUCAAUGACCUGCGUGCCCCCGGAUAGGGGAGUCCUUUCUUUAGGCAUUAAAGGCAGCUAAGCAGGAGUAUAUGUAGUAGCUUUUUGGCCUCUUUCCCUGGGCUUACUAAGGUCAGGACAUACCAAUCCUUUGAGUCAGUAGUGAGAGGCUCCUUGCAAGUAAAUGAAUCCACCCAACCCUUCUACUACUCUGCCUUCCAUAUCUGUUUUCGAAGUCCCUUUUAAGAUCCUCUAAAGAAGUGAAUGACUAAAAGGAUCAGGACAGAACGUAAGCAUUGACAGCAAACGGGCUAGAGGGCAAGGGCUUGUUGGCUUCACAUAUUAACAUAUUCGCAAAGAAAGAUAAUAUGCUCUCUACCUCCUAUAAAGACUUAUGAGUUGAUGAUCUUGCUCCCCCCUUAGAAUGGUUACUGGACAAGGGCGGGAGCGCCAUAACGUUAACUACUUCAAAAUAGGAGGUGUCGUUCUUGACUCGACCCUAGGGGUGAACUCUCUUUUCUAAUUGCUGGUUUAGGAGUGAAAAUUUGUCUUCGUUCUUCGGGCGCCUACUCCUUGUUCCACUUGAGGGGGAUACCUCCUUGGUUUCGUAGAUUAUUAGUAUUGCAUACUUCUUUAUUUGAUUGGGAAGGGCUAUGAUGUCAAUAGAUAUUUAUGAAUAAAGAUCCUCCUGGCAGUACGACGGACCUUAGAGAUCGCAAAGUUGAAGCAAGCCCAGUGUAAAACCUUACUAGUAAAAGUUCCCUAAAUAAGGUGGGAUCAAAAUACGUUUUUUGAAGCCGACUGGUAGCAUGUAGUCGUAGGCGGAGAUAAACAAGUGAUAAACAUUUAGUCCUCACUUCACACUUUGUAGAUAUCUUUCUCUAUUAUCGGCUGCAUGCUUUCGGAGAGAAAACAAUGGGAAGUUCAGUCAAACGCAUUUACCGCGCCAAUGAUCAAGCAAAUAAGAAUCUCUGUCUUAUUUUUCUUACGCAAUUUCAGAAGAUUCCCCAUCUGAGAGAUGUUGUUCUAUGGAAGGUCCCUUUUUUAAAUAAGGAGUUUGCCUAGGAACUCCACCUUAGAAACUUUCCUGCCUCCGCUCAAAAUCCACCUAUACUAAUCGAAUUUUUUCCUAUUCUUAGACGACUUUUCUAUUGCCUUCCGUGCAAAAACUCUUUUGAAUCCGUAGGGGAAUGCGGAUAUAAAGAGAAAUGAAGCAGUUGGGCCUGAUAUAGAGACUGCCCAUAAGAUAAGGCUGAGCUUAAACCUUAUGUGUCGUCUAACUGAGCAGCAACACAAUAUCGGAAGAUUUAAAGCUGUAACAAGAG
rnacentral:lncRNA from 1 species